rnacentral:rRNA from 1 species
AAGUCGUAACAAGGUUUCCGUAGGUGAACCUGCGGAAGGAUCAUUAUAGAAUCAUAUCUUCUGAUAUGUCUAUUCACCCCGUGUCUACUUCAUCCUGUUCCUUCCAUGAGUUAGGUGUAUUGAAUGCGUUUGAUAUAUUCUUAUGUUGAUAUUCAGGUGAUAUCAUUAACUCAUGAACAUCUUCCAGUAAGGCAUUUUGUUUUCGCUGGAUAGAUAAACCAAUCAAAUAGCUGUGUAGAAUAAUCAGAAUCUAUAUACAAAAGUUAAAACUUUCAACAAUGGAUCUCUUGGCUCUUGCAUCGAUGAAGAACGCAGUGAAAUGUGAUACGUAAUGUGAAUUGCAGAAUCUCGUGAAUCAUUGAAUUUUUGAACGCAUAUUGCGCCCUAUGGUAUUCCGUAGGGCAUGCCUGUCUGAGUGUCAGUUAUAACCAUCGAGCAUUUGUUUGCUUGGAUAUUUGGGGCAUGCAAUUAAUACUUGCAGUCCAGAAAACUAUUAGCAGUAACCGUAGAAAUACAUGGUUGUAAUACUAUUAUCACUAUGGGAGUCAACUGGUACUUGCUCAAAACUUAUAUAUAAUUUUUUUAAGGUUGACCUCAGAUCAGGUAGGGAUACCCGCUGAACUUAAGCAUAUCAAUAAGCGGAGGAAAAGAAACCAACAGGGAUUGCCUUAGUAACGGCGAGUGAAGCGGCAAAAGCUCAGAUUUGAAAUCUGGUGUUGUUAAACAUCCGAGUUGUAAUCUGUAGAGAAGUACUUUAUGUCAGACAUUAGCUUAAGUCCUUUGGAAUAGGGCGUCAUGGAGGGUGAGAAUCCCGUGCAUGGCUUUUGUUCUGUUCAUUUGUAAGUCUUCUUCAACGAGUCGAGUUGUUUGGGAAUGCAGCUCUAAAUGGGUGGUAAAUUUCAUCUAAAGCUAAAUAUUGGCAAGAGACCGAUAGCGCACAAGUAGAGUAAUCGAAAGAUGAAAAGAACUCUGGACAGAGAGUUAAACAGUACGUGAAAUUGUUGAAAGGGAAGCACUUGCUACCAGACGCACUUGCAGUUAAUCAGCCUCUAAUUUUAUUGGUGCACUUAGCUGUACGUGGGUCAGCAUCAGUUUUGUUGGCGGGAAAAAGAUUGGAGAAAUGUAGCUUCACUUGUGAAGUAUUAUAGUCUUCGGUUAGUACUGCCUGAUGGGACUGAGGACCGCACAUUUUGUGAGGAUGCUGGCAUAAUGGUCGUAAGUGACC